GAGUUUGAUCAUGGCUCAGAACGAACGCUGGCGGCAGGCCUAACACAUGCAAGUCGAGCGCGCCCUUCGGGGUGAGCGGCGGACGGGUGAGUAACGCGUGGGAACGUGCCCUCUUCUGCGGGAUAGCCACUGGAAACGGUGAGUAAUACCGCAUACGCCCUUUUGGGGGAAGAUUUAUCGGAGGAGGAUCGGCCCGCGUUGGAUUAGGUAGUUGGUGGGGUAAUGGCCUACCAAGCCGACGAUCCAUAGCUGGUUUUAGAGGAUGAUCAGCCACACUGGGACUGAGACACGGCCCAGACUCCUACGGGAGGCAGCAGUGGGGAAUCUUAGACAAUGGGCGCAAGCCUGAUCUAGCCAUGCCGCGUGAGUGACGAAGGUCUUAGGAUCGUAAAGCUCUUUCGCCUGUGAAGAUAAUGACGGUAGCAGGUAAAGAAACCCCGGCUAACUCCGUGCCAGCAGCCGCGGUAC
rnacentral:rRNA from 1 species